rnacentral:rRNA from 1 species
UUUGGAUAACUGUGGUAAUUCUAGAGCUAAUACAUGCAACAAAGUCUCGUGCCAUUCAUGGUACGGACGCUUUUAUUAGAUCAAAACCAUUCGCCCAGCUCGCCUGGGCGUUUGCUUGAUGAAACUAGAUAACACUUCAGAUCGCAUGGUCUUUGAACCGGCGACUUAUCUUUCAAAUGCCUGACUUAUCAACUGUCGAUGGUAGACUCUGUGUCUACCAUGGCUGUUACGGGUAACGGGGAAUCAGGGUUCGAUUCCGGAGAGGGAGCCUGAGAAACGGCUACCACAUCCAAGGAAGGCAGCAGGCACGCAAAUUACCCACUCCCGGCACGGGGAGGUAGUGACAAAAAAUAACAAUGCGGAACUCUUAUGAGGCUCCGUAAUUGGAAUGAGUACACUUUAAACCUUUUAACAAGGAUCAAUUGGAGGGCAAGUCUGGUGCCAGCAGCCGCGGUAAUUCCAGCUCCAAUAGCGUAUAUUAAAGUUGUUGCGGUUAAAAAGCUCGUAGUUGGUUCUGCGUGCCACGCUGUCGGUUCGCCGUUUGUCGGUGCAACUGGCAUGUCGUGGCAUGUCCUGUCGGUGGUGAUCAAAAACGCUUGGUCGUUAGUAGUUUUCUGCUGCGUGCCUUGUGCUUUUUGAUUACCGACUCUAUCCUACCGCGGUGCUCUUAACUGAGUGUCGAGGUAGGCCGACACGUUUACUUUGAACAAAUUAGAGUGCUUAAAGCAGGCUGAAAUCUCUGCCUUGAAUAGUGGUGCAUGGAAUAAUAAAACAGGACCUUGGUUCUAUUUUGUUGGUUUUCGGAACACAAGGUAAUGAUCAAUAUGGACAGGCGGGGGCAUUCGUAUUGCGUCCUCCGAUGAGGCGGGGCCGGGAAACCAAAGCUUUUGGGUUCCGGGGGAAGUAUGGUUGCAAAGCUGAAACUUAAAGGAAUUGACGGAAGGGCACCACCAGGAGUGGAGCCUGCGGCUUAAUUUGACUCAACACGGGAAACCUCACCAGGUCAGGACAUUGGAAGGAUUGACAGAUUGAUAGCUCUUUCUUGAUUCAGUGGGUAGUGGUGCAUGGCCGUUCUUAGUUGGUGGACCGAUUUGUCUGGUUAAUUCCGAUAACGAACGAGACUCUAGCCUAUUAAAUAGGCGUCGUGGCAUCGCAGCUGCCACCGACAAUUAUCCUUCUUAACGGGACAGGCGGCUCAUAGCCGCACGAGAUUGAGCAAUAACAGGUCUGUGAUGCCCUUAGAUGUCCUGGGCCGCACGCGCGCUACACUGAAGGAAUCAGCGAGUUCCUCCUAGGCCGAAAGGCCCGGGUAACCCGUUGAACCUCCUUCGUGCUAGGAAUUGGGGCUUGCAAUUGUUCCCCAUGAACGAGGAAUUCCCAGUAAGCGCGAGUCAUAAGCUCGCGUUGAUUACGUCCCUGCCCUUUGUACACACCGCCCGUCGCUACUACCGAUUGAAUGAUUUAGUGAGGUCUUCGGACUGGCGGUAAGCUGUAGCGGCUUGUUCGUUACAGAUGAACGUUGGAAAGAUGACCAAACUUGAUCAUUUAGAGGAAGUAAAAGUCGUAACAAGGUUUCC